rnacentral:rRNA from 1 species
UACGUAGGGACCAAGCGUUGUCCGGAAUCAUUGGGCGUAAAGAGCGUGUAGGCGGCUUGUUAAGUCUUGCGUGAAAUCUCGGGGCUCAACCCCGAGCGGUUGUGAGAAACUGGCAGGCUAGAGUGCGGGAGAGGAGAGUGGAAUUCCUGGUGUAGCGGUGAAAUGCGCAGAUAUCAGGAAGAACACCAAUGGCGAAGGCAGCUCGCUGGGACGGUACUGACGCUGAGGCGCGAAAGCGUGGGGAGCAAACAGG